CAAAAGGCACAAUUGAAGAAAUAACCUCUGGGUCGCGACAAACGCCGCGAUCUACUUGUGUGCAUAUCCACACAACACAAACAUAUGAAUGUUUGUAGAUCUCGGGUUUCUGUGGGAAGCUAUGCAGGGAGAAUGAGAUGGAUGCAAGUGCGCGAAGCAAUGAGUGAGAGCGAGACACAUGCAUACACAUAUAUGUUUUUGGGCUGUAAGGAUUUAAAAAUGGCUUACAUACAUAUAUUAGGAAAACGCAUCAUCAGCCUCGAAGUUGUGCGCUAAGCGAGAUGCGGCGUCAUACUAAACGUUCGGCUUUUGAGGCCGGCGUUCGGCUGCCACUCUCAGCAGUCUUAUUCUGUCUGGGCACACUCAAAUGGUCGCAGGUACCCUUGGGGAUGCCUCAAUUCGAUAUAUUUUGUUUCGAUAAAAAGGGCCAUUUGGUAUGUUUAUACCAAAGACAAUAUUAACACUAAGAACUGGAAACGCUACAACAGUUCCAAUUCGACGUCCACUACCGUCGAGGGGAGCUCAACGUUGUGGCCGACGCACUAUCAAGACAUCAUCUACAGACCUGCCAACAAGCUGCGGUAGCCGACUCACCCAGCAGGUGGGUCGCGAGUAUGAGUGCUAGAAUCGCCGAGGAGCCGGCCAAGUUCUCGUACUACAUAAAAGAUAAUGGGUAACUGAUGGCGAUUAAAUUUCAUGGAAGCUAUGCGUGUCUAGUGAUCAGCGACAGAGGGUAUUGCAGGAAUGCCACAACGCUCCCACGGCCGGACAUCAAGGCGUGAGGAAAGCCGUGUCGAGAUUGGCACAAAGAUACUACUGGCCAGGUAUGUUCCGCGACACCGCCAAGUACGUGAAGUGCUGCGAAAUCUGUCAAAAAUUCAAGAGUGAACAACUCAAACUGGCUGGACAUAUGCUGACGCGGCAGAGCGCAGAGCCAAUGGCAGUACUCUGCGCCAACUUCGUCGUGCCCCUUUCACGCUCGAAACAUGGCAACACAAUGGUAUUGGUGUUCCAUGAUGCCUUUUCAAAGUGGGUGAAAUGGGUCCCUCUCAGGAGGGUCACGGCGGCACACCUGCAGACCGCAUUCCGAGAGAGGAUUCUAAGUAGGUUCGGCGUACACACGAAGUUCGUGUGCAACAACGAAGUACAAUUUACAAGCCGUAGUUUUAUGGCUUUUGUGGAGUUUUGGUGUAGAGGUCCAGUACACCGCCCCGUAGUGUCCUCAAGAAAAUCCUACCGAGAGGACCAACAGGACCGUGAAGACCAUGAUAGCGCAAUUUAUCGAGGGCCAUUAGAAUUCGUGGGAGGAGCUUUUCCCUGAGAUAUCGCUGGCGGUCAAUACAAGUGGCGGAUUCGACCGGUUGCCCGGGGACUCCGGGGUCCGCAACUAGUGCGUCCACAGCAAUCUCCAGUGCGCUUCGAAGGACCAGGGAGGACACUACAACCUGCGGAGGCGAGAGUGGUGGUCUUCGUUGGAUUCGAUGGUCCUGUUAAGGCAGCACCAACUAUCCAACGCCGCUGAGGGUUUCGCGGCGAAGGUGGCACCCAAGUUUGAUGACCCCUAUAGCGUCGUCAAAUUCAUAUCCCCUAAUAUAUAUUUUAUUUUGUUUUUUCCCUUUUUUUUAAAUGUUGGAAUAAUAAUUGGAAUAAUGAAUGUUGAAAUACACAAACAUUCAUUCAUACAAAAGGUACAAUGACCAAGUAGGCUUUUGUUAUUUUCAGUUUUAAUACUGAAAUGCUUUUAUCGUUUAGCCUCACUUUUACUGAACUUUAGAGAGUUAGCAAGUUAACGUGCUUAGAAAAGUUAUUUAAAAAUAUUGAGAUCAACUAAACCAACAAGUAUUUCAUUUAAUUGUGUACAUUUCAAUAGGUUAAGGGCCCAGACAUCGCAUUACCAAAAAAUUAAAAAAAAAAUAAAAUCAAAAGCGUACAUAAUUAAAUAAACAAUUAAAUUAUAAAAAAAAAUAGUCUUAUCGUUUAUAUGUGUAUGAAUAUUCGGCAACGCGUAAUUAACACAACUCCUUUGUAGGUUUACAGUGGCUCUAAAGAAGACAAAUCUUAACUGUGCACAAAUAAUUAAAGGUGUGUGGGUGAAUGAAACAAGAAUUUAACGUGACAACGUUUUCGGAAAAUAAAAAAGAAAAAUACAAUCCAAAAGGGUAGCAAAUUCAAGAAUAUUAAUAUUUAUAUGUUAUUGAAAAGGAGAAACCGGAAAAAAUGGGCUAAGGCAAAAGGAGCAGCAAACAAUAUAAUAAUUGAAUUCCUUACCGAUUCGUUUCUGUCAUUUGCUGAGAUUAAGCACUCUGCAAUGGAAAUUUUAAAGAAGUUAGACUCAGUGUUCGUCCGUAAAAGUUUAGCCUCGGUUCACUUUAAAAAAUUUGACGAAUUUAUGAAUGGGUUAAUAGCAUCAGGAGCUAAAAUUGAAGAGGUGGAUAAAGUGUCACACCUACUUUUAACUUUACCUUACACAUAUGAUGGGAUGGUAAAUGCUAUUGAAACCUUGUUAAUUGAAAAACUGACUCUGGCAUUUGUCAAAAAUCGACUACUUGAUCAUGAGAUCGAACUUAAGAAUGCUAGUAAGAAUACGAGCAAUAAUAAGGUAAUAUCUCAUUUAGGAGCCUCAUACAGUAUGAUAAAUAAUGUAAGUCUGUUGUGAAACACCAAUUGAGAUUGCUAUUGCAAAAAUUAUAGAGUACAUUUAUGAUACUGUUAAGGGUACAGUGAAAUUAGAGAGCAAUCUUAAUAAAAAUAUUACCCUAAAAAAUGUGAUUUUUUGCAAGGACAUUCCACAAAAUUUACUAUCGGUGCCAAAGAUGCAGAAUGCUGGUAUGACAAUUCAGUUCAAUUCAACUGGUGUAAGUGUUAAAGAACGGACAAGGCGUUUUAGAAGGUACUUUCACUACUCAAUACUACUACUACUCAAUAGUAGAGGCAGGCAACAAAUGCCUCAUCUACACAUGAGUAGAGGAUAGUUUAUAGAAGUUGUGCGAAAUAAUGUUUGAGGAUAUAGAAAUUUUAAGAAAUGUACAACUGCAUGACAAUUUGUGUGAGGCUUGUGUUAAUGGCAAACAAACUAGACUCCCGUUUAAUGGAACUAAAAAUAAAGACAAUGUCAAGAGACCUUUAUUUAUGGUUCAUUCGGAUGUUUAUGGUCCAAUACCACCUACUUGAAUUGAUGGUGAAAACUAUGAUGUAGUCUUUGUCGAACAAUAUAGACAUUAUUGUGUAAGCUAUUUGAUAACCUAUAAAUCUGAUGUGUUUUCAUUUUUUAAAGAUUAUGUGGCAAAGAGCGAGUCACAUUUUAACUUAAAGGUUGCGAAUCUCUGCAUUGAUAAUGGGAGAGAGUACUUGUCUAACGACAUGCGUAGCUAUUGUUUAGAAUAUGGCAUAAGCUACCAUUUAACGGUUCCUCAUACACCACAACUAAACGGAGUAUCAGAACGCAUGAUUGGAUAUUUAACAGAGAAGGCAAGAACAAAGAUCAAUUCUGCAAAAUUGGGUAAAAGGUUUUGGAGUAAAGCUGUUUUAACAGCAAUAUUUUUAAAUUAAUAGAACUCCAAGUAGGGCAUUACGGGAAAAGAACACCAUUUGUGGCACAACAAAAAACGUAUUUUAAAAUUAAAAAAAAAAAAUAUUUGGCUUAACGGUUACAUGACACUAGCAGCGAAAUUAGUCGCCUUCCUGCCUUCAACCAUUGAGAAAUAAAGUGAAAGAGCUAAACCAGACACUCUGAGCUUUUUAACCGUUUUAAAAACCACGAGAAUAGAUCGGGCUGGUCCGCAAACGCAAAAUCAAAAUCCAAAGAAAAGCUCAUUUACCAUAGGAAGCAACAGUGCGUACGAAACCUAAUUUGUUCUUCAUCCCCGUUUUGAUCGACAAGAGGUUUGCGAGCCAUGAUGAGGACAUUGGAUACUCAGUGCAAAGAGAGGGGACAAUAAAGCCAAUGUGUUCUUGGGGGUUUCUCUGUCCUUCCUACAAGGCAGCGCGUAGAAACCACAACAGCACAAUUUGGGUACUUAUGUUGUUAUUGAAGAGCCAAGUCUCAGCGCAAGCAGGUAGAAAAUUAUGACGCCAGCAAGCCAUGGCAAUCAUAUUAAAGGGAUACGCGGACGGCGCACUAACAUCAUAUAUUAUAGCGUCACAAUUAAUAGAACUUAAUUUUUUGUGAUGUUUAGUAUAUAUUUCUACUUAUAUUAGGCAUAUUUAAAUAAUUUAUGAAUAGGAUCCUUUACAGUAUAUAAUUGAAUGAUGUAUGUAAUCACUUUAAAUACGAAAUGAUCGCACGGAAUAAACCCUAGGCUGUGACGUCACAUGCGCAACAGAA